rnacentral:tRNA from 1 species
CAAAAAGUAGCUUAUCGCAAAGCCUCUCGCUUACACCGAGAAGAUGUCUGCUCAUCCAGACCAUUUUGA